UACGUAGGGGGCAGCGUUGUCCGGAAUCAUUGGGCGUAAAGAGCGUGUAGGCGGCUCGGUAAGUCCGCUGUGAAAGUCCAGGGCUCAACCCUGGAAUGCCGGUGGAAACUGUCGAGCUAGAGUCCGGAAGAGGCGAGUGGAAUUCCUGGUGUAGCGGUGAAAUGCGCGAUAUCAGGAGGAACACCGAUGGCGAAGGCAGCUCGCUGGGAC
rnacentral:rRNA from 1 species